rnacentral:misc_RNA from 1 species
AACGCAUAUUGCGCCUCUUGGUAUUCCUUGAGGCAUGCCUGUUCGAGCGCCGUUUGACUCUUGGAGUUUUACUCUGUGUUGGGCUUGUUCUUCGCAAGGAACUUCCCCCAAAUAAAUUUGCCCGAGUUUUUCUGGAAGCAACAGUGAAAGUGUUUCUCCCCCAAAAACAAGGGCAGAUCUCCGAACACAUGGCCUCGGAUCAGGUAGGGCUACCCGCUGAACUUAA